rnacentral:rRNA from 1 species
AUGAACGCUGGCGGCGUGCCUAACACAUGCCAGUCGCGCGGCAGCGAGGGGUGCUUGCACCCUGUCGGCGAGCGGCGGACGGCUGAGUAACGCGUGGGAACGUGCCCCAAAGUGAGGAAUAACUGCUCGAAAGGGUAGCUAAUACCGCAUAUUAUCUUCGGAUCAAAGGAUUUAUCCGCUUUGGGAGCGGCUCGCGUCGGAUUAGGUAGUUGGUGAGGUAAUGGCUCACCAAGCCGACGAUCCGUAGCUGGUCUGAGAGGAUGACCAGCCAGACUGGAACUGAGACACGGUCCAGACUCCUACGGGAGGCAGCAGUGAGGAAUCUUCCACAAUGGGCGAAAGCCUGAUGGAGCAACGCCGCGUGCAGGACGAAGGCCUUCGGGUUGUAAACUGCUUUUAUAAGUGAGGAAUAUGACGGUAACUUAUGAAUAAGGAUCGGCUAACUACGUG